UACGUAGGGUGCGAGCGUUAAUCGGAUUUACUGGGCGUAAAGCGUGCGCAGGCGGCCCGUUAAGACAGGUGUGAAAUCCCUGGGCUCAACCUAGGAAUUGCGCUUGUGACUGGCGGGCUCGAGUACGGUAGAGGGGGGUGGAAUUCCUGGUGUAGCAGUUAAAUGCGUAGAGAUCAGGAGGAACACCGAUGGCGAAGGCAGCCCCCUGGGCCUGUACUGACGCUCAUGCACGAAAGCGUGGGGAGCAAACAGG
rnacentral:rRNA from 1 species